UUGACAGCCCUGGAAAUUUAAGUCUUUUAUCCACAGAGCAGGUAUUAUACAGGCAUAGGCAGUGCAAGCGUCCCCAUAUACACCAGCUGUAAUGCACCUCAACCAUGAUUUGAAAGGAAACUCAGGCAAGAGAGUUUAUAUUGUCACUGCAUAAUUCUAAGGAUAUCUUCC
ensembl:misc_RNA